GGGCUUGUGGUUUAGUGGUAUAAUUUUCCCUUAGCAUCAGAAAGCGUGGGAAAGGUCCUGGGUUCGAUUCCCAGCAAGUCCA
rnacentral:tRNA from 1 species